rfam:Nitrospirae bacterium RIFCSPHIGHO2_02_FTLL_40_19 rifcsphigho2_02_scaffold_436676, whole genome shotgun sequence.
GGCCCCGUAGCUCAAAUGGAUAGAGCCGCGGUUUCCUAAACCGCUGAUGGUGGUUCAAUUCCUCCCGGGGUCA